GGGUUUUUAAUCCCACUUUCUUACUCCAGAUUAAGUGCCUGUCUGUAAGGCCCCUCAGUCCUAAUGUCACAGGAAUCAAUAUAUUAUUUGUGCCCAUUGGCUACAAGUGCUUCGUUCUGUCCAGGAAACCCACCAAGAUCCAGCAGCUGAUGAUUAAUGGAUUGGCUUAUUUGCUUUAACUGCAAUCGGUUUAAAGCAAGUGUAUCAUGCCCUUAAAAUCAAUCUGCCUCUGGAGUCCCUUACAGCAGUUUUCUGAGACUGAAAUGGUUUGUUAGAGGUUAUGCCAAGCAGGUGUGUCCAUAGAGAGAUUACUCUGUUCUUUGAGUCAGACAAGACAACUGCUGUCAUGUCAAAGAAAGGCGGAAUGGCAAACAAACUCUCAUGGGGAAACUUUGCAAACACAAGCAUAUGAUUCAACAGAAAGAAUGGAUGAUGAUAUUAUAGUGGAAUAACUACACGUAAUGAGUUUAGAAGUUAGCAUGUAGAAAAAAUGCAGUCUAAAUGUCUGGAAAUACAGCAAAUGAAAGAACCAUUCUGGUUCAGAUUGGUUGUAAUAUUCUGUUCCUAUAGUAGUCAGUCAUGUGCCUAGAGCAAUAGUUCUCAAUCUGUGGGUCCCCAGGUGUUUUGGCCUAAAACUCCAAGAAUCCCAGGCAGUUUACCAGCUGUUAAGAUUUGUGGGAGUUGAAGGCCAAAAUAUCUGGGGUCUCACAGGUUGGGAAUCACUGGCCUAGAGGAAUCUCAAGAGCAGGGCAAGAAUAUAAUAGAACAAUUUCACUUGUUAUGUUUAUUUAUUCAUAUAAUCAUAGAAUCAUAGAAUAGUAGAGUUGGUCUAGGACCAAGCGGAAAGCUUGGAGAAGAAUUGGGGGGACAGGGAGAGGGAUGGCCUGGUUGAAACUAUUUACGGUAUGUGCUUUUGAGUAGUGGCCAGAUUUGUACUCUGAUUCAGCUGGUUAUUUGUAAUUCUUCACCAGGUUAUAAAACUGACUGAAAGAUGAGCAAGUGCGUCUUAUCCUUCCCAAAUAGUCCAUGACCAGCUUGUACUAGAUGUUUCUUUGUAAUUCAAGGAAUUCAACAAAAAGUUACAAAAUCUAAAACUAGCAGUCAAAUUAAAUCAGAUAAUUGAAAUGUUUUAAUAGUGAAUCUAGACAGGAUUACAGAAGCCAAGUCUCCCACUGAGAGUGAUAAAAGAUGUAUUGUAUGCAAGCCUCUGCUUGUCAAUUUGGAUUGAUCCACACUGAGUCCAAUGACAUUUGCUUCCUCUGGAAAGAAAGAGUCUGCUUGAAAUCAGUGUGGCUGGGCUGACCUCUGGGUAAAUGCGUGUACAAAUCCAUUUUAUCACUGCAUAACAUUUGCAUUGAUAGAUAUUUGGUGGAACAAAGCCUGCAUCCUAUGGAAAACUAUGGAUAUACAGUUAUUUGGUCUCUGAAGAAAAAGGAAGGGAGUUCUCAAAAUUGAAACAGCAAGAAUGGUUACUGUGAGGAUGAUUUUCUAAAAGAUGAAAUCCUGUUUUGUACAAAAUGUUGUGAUUCAUUUCUGUUGUGGGGAAGUGGGAUAAAAAUGUAAUCUAUUUCUUCAUGACCAUUAGCAACACAAGCCUAUUUGUGUCUGUUCAGAAGUGAGUUCUGCUGACUCCAAUAGGUCUUACUUCUAAGUAAGGGAAUUGCAGGCUAAGAGAAAGGUUCUUUAGGAAUAGAAGAACCAGGUGGCAUCAGACAAAAAUCCCACCUAGUCCACCAUUCUGUCCAUAUAGUGGCCAUGAAUUUAUCUAUGCAAUUUAUUUUAAAGCCAUUCUGUUGGCAGCAUACCUAGUCCACAGCUUAACUGUUAACUAUGAGAGAACUCCUAUAUAUCUAUCUCUAAUUUCAGUUUUCUUAUUAUUGUUGCCUUAUGCUAUCUACGUUGUUAUAUAAUGUAGUUUCAAACUACCUUAUAUAGUCAGUGUAGACUCAUAUAAUGCAGUUCAAUGCAGUUUGAAACUGCAUUAUAUGGCAAUGUAGAUGGGACCUUUGGUGUGGGAUGAAUUUUAGGCAUUAUGGAAAGAAGAAACAGUCAGAAGAAUUUUUCUAACUCUAUAUGCUUCACAAGUUUACCAAAUUCAUUUGCAAAGGCCUGUGUGAUGAAUAAAUGGAUAAUUUUUUACUGUUGCAUAGCAGUUAAUGAGACAACAAACUUUUCAGUCUAGCUAAUAAAUUAUAUAUGAUUUCACAGAGAAAUUUUCUUUUCUUUCAUUUGAAAAUGUAUGUUGAUGGAUGCGAAAGAAGCAGACACACACAAUUGUUUUGUUAUGUUUGGCAAAGAAACCUACUUUACCAGUUACUUACUCCAAAUCCUAUGCCUAGGAUUGAACAAGGGAAACCAACUAAGCAUGUUUUGUAGUUUGCAGUAAUCUCACUGCAAAUAGACAUAGGUUCCAAUAGGUCACGAGGAAGCGCCAGCAGCAUUCUUCGCUUUAAGUAAGCAAUAUCAGUUACAUGCAUUCAUGAGAACAUUGGUAAUGCAUCCAGUGUGGAGUUCGAAAGAAGACACAUUUCAAAAUGUCAGAUGAGAAUCUCAUGUCUCCAUUGGUAAGUUGUAUGAGCAGUUGCUAUUUAAUAUUCACUUCUCUUUUGUGAAUUUUCAUUAAAAAUAGUUUUAGGGUGAGUCAAAAUGGCAUAAAUGUCAUUUGCCAUUUUCUUCUGUCUACUUUAUGGAUUAUCUGUACAGGUUUGCCGGAAUUCUGAAUUCACUUAUUUUAAUGUUAGGAAGGCAUUCCCACAAAAAAGAACUUUCUUUUUCUAUCAUUAGGGGAAAAUGAUGUAGGUGGACAGACUCUAGGAAAAAGAUCUGGAGAUGAAAUGUAAUGUUGUUAAUCCAAGUUGAUAUUAAAUAUGCUGCCCAAUGGGGAAAUGUCCAGAAUUUGAUGUGGUUAAUUGGAAUGUUUUUGUAUUAAUUAACACUUAUCGACAUAUUAUUUACCUCCAUGUGAUUGUUUAUAUGUCUCUGAAGCAAUUGUUACUCUUUUCCUUCUGUUCUGUAGGUGCCAUUUUAGUACUUUUGCACUUUUCCGUUGAUUGUACAGCCACAUUAUACAUUCUGUUAUCUUUAUCAGCUUUUCUAAAUUCCCAUCAAUGCUUAGAUCUGUCUAAUGAGAUAAACCACUGAAGCAACUGUCUCAGAUACUGCUAGUCUGGAACAAGAAUUAAAUAUUGAUUUCAUCCAACACUUAUUCAAAUAUACUCCCACUGAUAUGCUAUUACUGAACCUCUCAUUUAUUACAGUACUUAACUCCUUAUUCUCAUCAGUUAGUUGCCAGUCUACAUCAGGGGUUCUUAAAUAUGAAGUUCCAUGAGUUUCAGGGGCUAAUGAAUAAGGUACAAAAAGGGAGAGGAAAAGAAAGGGGAAGAGGAGAUUCUCCCAUUUAUUUACUUCCUCUUACUGUGACCUUUUUUUUAAAAAAAGUCCAAUUUUCCAGUGAGGGCAUCCAUAGUUUUUAUCGGGAGGGAUUCAUGGUCUGUUAGGAACCAUGGUUCUAUAUUCAAAUUCAGUGAAGGAUAAAGAAAAAGAAAUACUUUAAGAUGUUGAAUGAAAUGGAAUAAUUCUAACCCAAGGAAUCCCUUUUUAAAAAACCUGUGUGUUCAUUUUAUCCCCCUCCUUUCUUCAGAAGGAAAAAAAAAACCAAGGGAAAUGGUACCAGGAAUUACUGACUGGUCCCAGUGAAUAAAAUGAGAUGUGCAACCCUCUAAUUACUGUCAGGAAACCAAAUAAAAGUCCCAGAUUAAUUGUUUUGUAUCCCCAUGAUUAUUAAACGUAUGCUGCAUCCAUUCUAUUCAUACCUUUCUGAAUUUUAAAGAAUGAAAGGGAGUACAUACAGACAUUACAUAUGAAAGCAUUUUGUUUCAUAUUGCUUUAAUUUGUAACUGUAUUCUGCAUCACAUAAAAAGAAGGAAGAUAAAGACGACAGGUUUCAUAAGAAAUGUGUUAGUUUCAGAAUAAAAAGGAAGAAAUAAGUCUUGUGGCAUCUUUACAUCUAAAAGUUUUGUUUCAGUUUAGAUUUUCAUGGAUUACAAUUCAUUUUUUCAGAUGUUUUAGUUGGAAGAGGAGUGGUGGGAGAGGGAAGGAAGGAAAGAGAUGUUACAUUUUUGAUCUUCUUGCCAGAAGAUCUGCCCUUUUCCAGUGUCUAAAUUGGUGCCUACCAAAUAUCUGUAAAAAGACAGAAACAGAUGUUUUACUAGCUCCCUGUCUAAUAAUCUCUUUAGCACCUCAUUAACUGAGGACUACUAUCAAGUUUUGGGGCGCUGAGAUUUUCCUGCUCCAGUAACUGCAGGUUCAGCGACCACAACCAUAGUAGCAGUGGUCAUUUUUAUUCUGAAUUGUAAUACUCUUUAUAAGGGGACUGGAAGAAUUCAUAAGGACCUAAAUACUCAAAUGGUACCAGAUUAUGUCUAAUCUUGGAAACAAAGCAAGGUCAGCUCUGGUUAGUACUUGAAUGUGAGACUGCCAAUGAAUAUCAGGUGCCGUAGGCUAUAUUUCAGAAAAAGGAACUGGCUAAACCUCCUCUGAGGUUUCCCUGUGUAAGAAAUCUCUAUGAAAUUCAUGGGGUUGCUAUAAGUACACAUAAGAGCUCAUGAAAGAAAAAUGGGAAAUGUUUCCUUUGUACUUCCGUCUGUUAACUCAUACGUUGAAGAAAGUAUGGAGUAAGAAGGAGUGAUAGAUUGGUUCACCUUUCAAGGACUCAAUUUUAAAUGACCUGUUCAAAUCUAAGGUUAUAUUAAGGGGGGUGUGUGUUUCACACUGUACAAUUAUAGUAUUGUAUUCCAUUUUAACUGCAUGACUCCUUCGCGUGAAGUUGUGGGAUUUGCAGUUUAAAGAGGGGCAUUUAGAGUUCUGAACCUGAGAGCUCUAGUGCCUCCUUAAACUUCGAGACCCAGGAUUCAGUAGGAUUCAGCUAUGGUAGUUUAAAUGGAACCAUAGUGUUACAACUGUGCAGUAUGAAAGGGACCAAGGAAACACAGGUAUAAAAAACUUAAGAAAACUCCAAACAUAUUGUGAUUAUCCCUGUAUUAGACCAUCCCAAAGAUACAUACUGUAGAUAUUGCUGCUGGCUUUGAAAAUCAAUGUUUUUAAUAGACAAAGAAGUUUUAAAGACAUACAAGGGAGAAGAAGGGAGAAGUGACAUUUGUGGGGCCCCUUCUACACUGCCAUAUAAUCCAGUAUUUGAUCCCAGAUUAUCUUCUUCCUCCUGGACCUCUCAGCAGCUUUUGAUAUAAUCAAUCAUGGUAUCCUUCUGGGUCAUCUCUCUGGGAUGGGCUUAGGGACACUGUUCUACAGUGGCUCUUGUCCUUCCUGGAGGGUCAGACCCAGAAGGUGGAGCUGGGGGACUCCUUUUUGACUCCCUGGCCGGUAGCCUGUGGGGUCCCUCAGGGUCCAAUUCUGUCCCCCAUGCUGUUUAACAUUUACAUGAAACCGCUGAGAGAGAUCAUCUGGAAUUUUGCAGUUCAGUGUCAAAUUUAUGCAAAUUUACUCUAUUACUCCUUUCCACCGAAUGCCAAAGAUGCUGUCCUGCCCUUAAACCUGCGCCUGUCACAAGUGAUGGACUGGAUGAGGCUAAUAAGUUGAAAUUUAAUCCAGAUAAGUCAGAUGUACUCCUGGUCAGUAAGAAAGUGGAUCAGGGAGUAGGAUUACAGACUGUAUUGGCUGGGGGUCACACAGUUUGUAGUCUGAGGGUGCUCCUGGACUCAUCACUGACCUUGGAACCCCAGGUGUUGGCAGUGGCCAGGAGCGUCUUCGCACAAUUAAACUUGUGCGCCAGCUGUGCCCAUACCUUGAGAUGCCAGACUUGGCCAUGGUAGUCCACACCUUAGUCACAUCCCGUUCGGACUACUGCAACACUCUGUACACGGGACUGCCUUAGUUUGGAAGCUUCAACUGGUUCAGAGAUCAGCAGCAAGGUUACUAACUGGAGCCCCUUAUAGGGAGAGUCCACUCCCAUGUUGCAGCAGCUCCAUUGGCUGACAGUCUGUUUCCAGGCUAAAUACAAAAUGCUGGCUAUUACCUUUAAAGCCCUAAAUGGCUCAGGUCCAGUCAUUUGACUAUUCAUAUCUCCUCCUAUAAACCAACCUUGGCAAUGCAGACAGCAGAGGAGGCCCUGCUCUCAGUCCCAUCCCCAUCUUAAGCACAGGUGGUGGGAACAAAAGAGAGAGGGCCUUCUCCCUCCCACCUCUGGAACUCCCUCCCUAAAGAAAUAAAGCUAGCCCCCUCCCUUCUCUCCUUCAAAAACAAAAGAAAACUUACUUUUGCUCAUUAGCAUACGGAGAGGAGGAGGAUUAGAUGAUGCGAUACCGCUUCUAGACUUCUGACUGAAAACUAUUAUUGUAUUCGGGCAUGGUCAGAUCAUGUUAGCCCAGUUAGCAUCUCUGGCCACAUAAUCACAUACAGUAGAGUCUCACUUAUCCAACACUCGCUUAUCCAACGUUCUGGAUUAUCCAACGCACUUUUGUAGUCAAUGUUUUCAAUGCAUUGUGAUAUUUUGGUGCUAAAUUCGUAAAUACAGUAAUUACUACAUAGCAUUACUGCGUAUUGAACUACUUUUUCUGUCAAAUUUGUUGUAUAACAUGAUGUUUUGGUGCUUAAUUUGUAAAAUCAUAAUCUAUUUUGAUGUUUAAUAGGCUUUUUCUUAGUCUCUCCCUAUUAUCCAACAUAUUCACUUAUCCAACGUUCUGCCGGCCCGUUUAUGUUGGAUAAGUGAGACUCUACUGUAUCUUAGUGAACCUUUGUUGGCCUCUGUAAAUUAACGUGGAUGUUUUAUGUUUAGGUUUAAUGUUAGAUAUAAUUUUGAUAGAUUAUGUUUUAUUUAAUCUAUAGAUGUCAUGUUAUAAAUUGUUUUCAUAUGUGGGGUUAUUUUUGGGCUAUUAUGGUUAUAGUUGUGGUUUUACUGAGGUAUUGAAUGUUUGGCUUUUUUGUUUGUUGGAAUCCGCCCUCUGUCCCCUAGGGUGGAAUAUAAAUAAAGUUGUUGUUGUUGUUGUUAUUUAACCUGGGAUCAGUUACUGAAUUAUAUGGCAGUGUAGAUCCAGCUUAAGACACUAUAUAUGUUUUAUACAUGGGAAGUAUUAAUAUGGGUUGAGUAGGCACUACCUCCCUUGGUCUUGUUGCUGCCAAGAACAAGAAAGCAAAUAAAAAGAGAGCAAUGAAAUUUGGUUCCAUUUGGGAAUGCAGACAUCCUUGAGCCCCCUUCCCUCCUCUGCUAUGCAAUAAUAAUACUAAUAUAUUUAUUUAUUUAAUUCAUUUAUACCCCACCUUUCCCACCCUGCAAAGGACUCAAGGCAGCUUGCAAACUCUGGCAAAAAUUCAAUGCCACAUAUAAACAUAACAAUAAAAAUUUACCCCAUCAAUUAUAAAACAGUUAAAACACAUGAGAAAAUAAAAUACAUAACAGCAACAAACAGCAGCAGCAGCAACAGCAACAACAAUAAAGCUUUAUUUAUAUCCUGCCCCCUCUCUAAAGGAAUUAGAGAUUAUUUUAAAGGAAUAUACACUGGCCCCUCAGUAUCCACUGGGAGUUGGUUCCAGGAUUUGAGCAUCCAUGGAUAUCAAAAUCCAUGGGUGCUCAAGUCCCAUUAAAUUGGCAUCCCUUAUGGCAAAAACAAGGUUUAUUUUUGGAAGGAAUAUUUUCAAGCCACAAAUUGUUGAAUUUAAGAUACAUAAUUUGUGGAUACAGAGGGCUGACUGUAUCUUGUUUUAUUACUAGACGUGCCAAAUAGUUAGUUUGCCUAGCACUACCAAUGUGCAAAAGAAUUGUGAACACCAUGUCAACCAGUGCCUGCCCAUGUGAGUUAAAACCAGCCAUACAUGGUACUGAUAAUGAUAAGCAAUACUUCGCUGGAGGACAUUUUUUGCCCCCUCUCAUAAUAGUAGAAUCUGGGGGUCAGCAGAUAGGAGCUUUGGGACCAAUAUAAAGAAGUACUUCACAGAGCACAUAGUUAACCUUUGAAAUUUGCUAUAAAAUGUAGUGAUAAAUGCCAACAUAUACAGUUUCUAAAAAUGAUUGUAUAAAUUCAAAGAAAAGAAGGCUAUGAACUUCUACUGGUCCACAAAAAGUUCACUCCCAAUGCAUGCGGCAAUGCACAUCCAGCCAGAAAUAGCUUAUUAAAAAAAUCUCACCAGAAAUUCUGGUUCAAGCCAUAAAAUCUGCCGCAGCUGAUUAGUUCCUGUCCCAUACAAAGUAGUAGCUUGAGAACAAAAUGCAAAGCACUUAUGAGGACAAGGCUAACUCUGAAGCAUUUGGGGGAAGCAACCACAUGCACAGCUCAGCUGGAAGGUAAACAAACACCUCUCCCCUGAGAGGAAACCACAGUGUUCCCAUGGGAUUACUCACUUUUGUUUUCUUGCUUCGUUCUGUUUUGUCUAGCUCUAAUUGUUAUUGGCCAGGCUGCUUUUUAUCAGACCAUUCUGCUGGUCAAGGAAAAAUAUAUCCUGGAUCAGAUUAAUCCGCAAUCAGCGGAUCUUUGUGGCCACCAUCCCAGCUCCCAGCCAGGUCGUGGAAUACCUGUGUAAACACUCUGCAGGGAACCAGGUCCCUUUAAUCCACACCCCGGAUUAAAUGACUGUGCAGAAGCACCCAGAGAGGAAAGCACUGUUACCUUCAUAUCCUGUUUCUGGGCUUCCUGGAGGUGUUUGGUUAGAAUUCUGAAAGAUUAAAUUGACAUGUGGUUUGAUCCAGUGUGACUCUUCUUAUGUUCAGCUUGAUAGUAUGUAAAACCUUAUUUAAAGGACAAAGAAGGACGAAGUAAUGUGAUCAGGAUUUCAUUUAUGAAGAGAUCAUUGACCAUGGUUAGACUAACAAGAUUAAGCUCUUUUAUGGAAAAUGACAGGUAUAUCUGUAUGAGACAUCCUUCACUGAACAUCUUCCAGCUGGAUUUCUAUUUUCCCUUACAUCUUAUAACCAGUUCAGCUAUUUUUACAGCAUUUCUGCACCUCUCGGAGACAGAUAAAUGUUAUUUAUUGGUAUGGUAUACUAGGUUGCAGCUACUAAAAUGUCUGUUCCUAAGAUAAUGUGGAAUAAUUUCAAACAUGAUAGACCUGUAGCUAAUGAAGACAUUGAUAUAGAGCACAAGGAAACCCAUACCUCAACCCCAAAGGAGACUUGCAGCAAAAAUAAUAAUUAAAAACUGCUUAUGCAGAGAAAUUUGCAGCUGUGCAGACACUCUGUACUUUGCCAAAGAAUUACCUGCUUAAAACAUCAGCUAUGACAGCAAUGGCAGUGAUACAGACUCUUGUGUUAGUGAGAUCCUAGACUCUGUAUCUGACAACAAUGACAAUAUUGACAUUUGAAUCAUUCCCCCAGGUGACUGCAAUGCUAUUGGCACCAUUUUUAUUUGAAACAUUCAUUUAGUGAAUAAACAAGGAAAUACCAAAUAAUCUGUUAAAUUGAUUGUCUGUCCAAGAACAUAGACUUUGUCUUUCUGUUUUCUUUGCUUUUGAAGACACCAGUAAGUAGACCAACAGUCAUAAGGAGGUCUGAUGUUUUAAAUUAACUUUUUGAAAGAAAAGGUUUUACAUGUAACAUAAUGUAAUAUAAUUUUAUUUUCUAUAUACUGUAUAUGAUGCCAUGGUAUUGUAUAUUAAAAAUAAAAAUAAAGGAGUAUUAAAUAUUGUAAUCCCUUUGUGACAUUUGGCCCAUCCUGUAUUUCCCAUAGGAUUCCUAAGAUUUCCUUAGCAGUUUCAUUGUCUACUAUUUGCCUCAGCAAAUUAUUUUAAACAUAGAAUCUCAUUAUUUGCUUGUUUUUUUAAACAAAAGAUGCUUUGUAGUUGUUAGCUACCAUGAACUCAACUUUGACUUAUUAAUAAUAUAAGAAUGAGAUGCCCCAAAGUCACUAAGGAGUAGCUCAAAGAACUGAGUAUGUUUUACCUGCAGAAGAGAAGGUUGAGAGGAGACAUGACUGCCAUAUUUAAAUAUUUGAAAGGCUGUCAUAAAGAAGAAGGAGCAGUCUUAUUUUCUGCUGCCCUGGAGACUAGAACUUGGAGCAAUGGGUUCAAAUUACAGGAAAGGAAACUCAACCUGAACAUUAGGAAGAACUUCCUGACCUGUCUUCUGUUAGUAGCAUGGAGUCAUUUGCAUAUCUUCAGUUGUGGAUGUUCAUUCCUCCAAUGUACAAUCUCCUCCUUCAGAGUUUAAUCCAGUUUUGUGUAUGAUAAGUUCACUAUACAAGUUAAACAGGAUAAUUAAAUGCAGCCUUACCUGAUCCCCUUGCCAUCAGUUAGAAAACAUUCAAUGUCUAUGUAUUCUGUCCUGAUGUUAGCCUCUUGUCCUGAGUGUAGAUUACACAUCAUAACAAAAAUUCUGUGACAUACCUAUUUUUUUAAGAGUGAUACAUACUAUUUUUCAUGAUCUACACAACUGAAGGCUUUCCUUUAAUCUAUAAAGUAUAGGCUGAUUUUCUUCUGGAUUUUUUUGGGCAUGCUUCAUUAUCCAACAUAUGUUUGUAAUAUAAUCUCCAUCAGAUGGCAGAAAUGGCAGCAACAUGCGUUGCCUUGCUGCCCUUUCUGCCAUGACAUGGCAAAUGGGGGAGGAAAGUAUAGGUAGCUCCCUUGGAGCUAUCCAAACAACAUUUUCCUCCCCACUUUGGGAGGAAUGUGGGCAGGGCCUGCCGAGCAUCAUGUGAUGCCGUAUGGCAGGCCCCAUGGAGCAAAAAAGUCCCAUGUAAAGAGGUCCCUACUCUCCUAUCCUUAGUCUCUUUUUUGCCACCAGCUACCUUCUCUGUCUUUGAAGCAGUAGUUGAGGCAUUCCUGUUUCUUUGUUUCUCAGAUCCUCUCUCUCUCCAGCCUCAGGUCUCUGUUUGCUACUUGUAUUGUGCAUGAGAUGUGAGACAGGAGAGGGAUUUAGGAUAUGAGAGACAAAGGAGCAAGAAUGCUGCAGCCUCUGCCUAAAAGACAGAAGUUAGUUUUGGCAGAAAAAAGAGAGAGAGACCAAGCAUCUGGGAUGUGCUAAUCAGAAACAACAUUUAUGCCAUGUACUUUUCCCAAAGACAACUUAUUAGGUAUAUGCAAAGACUGGUAUUCCAAAAUUUGAAAACAUCCAAAAUAUGAAACAAUUUUGGUCCCAAGCAUUUCAAUUAAGGGAUAUCCAUCCUGUAUUACAAAUUGGAAAUAUAGCAAGAAAAAUGGUAGAACUUGCACCAUGUCAAAAAUAGCCUAUACCACUCUACUUGGACACAUAGCUAUCACAAUUGUAUACUAAUUAUUUUAGCCAAAGCACAAAACAAUAAAAAUGGUAUGGGGCACAUUUUGAGAAGGAAUAAUACAGUAAAGAACUGUCUAAAGUAUUCUGACCAUUAGAUUUAUAUUAUAGUAAAUAGCGGAAUGAAAGCCAGUGUGGCAAACCCUCUCUAGACAAAUCUUGCCAGAAAAAUUUCAAGAAAACUUCUUGCCAAGAAAGCCCCUUAGGGCUGCCAUAAAUUGGAGAUUAUUUGAAGACACAGAAUAACAACAAUAUAGCCGAAUACAAGAAGGAAUUUGAACUAAACCUCUCUACUUUCAGAUUUUAAAGGAUUAUAUAUCUGACAAUAAAACUACAAACUGGCAACAAAACUAGAAAUCUUACUGAUUUGGGAAACACUGAAACAAUGGGAUUUAAGUGCUAAAUAUUGGCUGAAUUGGCUGCCUCAACAUGGCUAAAGUAAAGUCAUUAUUCUUUCUGAUGGCAACUGCAGUAAGAAAGUUGAUUUUCUGUAGUUCACAUCGGUUUUACACCUGUCAUACUAAGAGCUACACUUUGACUUAUGGGGAAGGAUCCCUAAACAUUUGUGCCAUAAAUGUAGUGUUUUUCUGUAUAAGUAACUGUAACAUUAUGCUCUUUUAAUGUCCUCAAGGGAACUAUCAAUAUCCAAAUGGAGGGAUAUAUUAUGUGAGCAAAGUGCUUCUUGAGACUUACAAACAUGAAGCUCACGUAUAUGUACAAUUGGGAAACAGAACUACAAUGGAACUGUAGAUAAAGGUAAAGAUUUCCCCCUGAAAUUAAGUCUAGUUGUGUCUGGGGGUUGGUGCUCAUUUCCAUUUCUAAGCUGAAGAGCCCGUGUUGUCUGUAGACACCUCCAAGGUCAUGUGGCCAGCAUGACUGCAUGGAGCACUGUUACCUUCUCACUGGAGCGGUACCUAUUGAUCUAUUCACAUAUGCAUGUUUUCGAACUGCUUGUUUGGCAGAAGCUGUGGCUAACAGUGUGAGCUCACCCCGCUCCCUGGAUUCAAACCAAUUCAAUCACUCCCAUUAGUACACCGAAGAGCACCCUGAGAGGCCAUUAUCCUUGUGGUCACUGUAAGUGUUGUCCUCAAUCUUGGAAGACUAAGGAGAUAUAUAAUCAUAGGAACAAAGUGGGCACCACACUAAAACAUUUUUCUACUUGUAAUAGCAGCAAUGUAAUCUACCUCUUGACAUGUGACUGUGAUCUCUGGUAUAUCGGAAAAACAACCAGAUCCUUGAGAAUCAGAAUCUCUGAACAUAAAUCCAGAAUCAAAAAUUUAUCUACAGAAUCUCUUUUAUAUUCACACUUCACCCAAUACAAACAUUCAUCUACCUCAUUUAAAUUUUGUGCUCUGGAAUGCAUCUCUCAAAAACCUUUCAUGGACUUGGAAAAACUAUUAUCCCAAAGGGAAAUGUACUGGAUCUUUAAGUUUAAAACCUUUUCCCCUCAGGGACUUAAUGAAUCACUUAAUUUUAGCUGUUUCCUUUAAACCUUCAAGUACUCUUUAAAAACCUUUGAAUGAACCUCCAGAAUUACUCGCAGUUGAAAUCACCACAAGCAGAGUCACUCAGUGAAAGCAUUUAGCACUAUAUAGAAAUUCAUUGUUGCUGAGUUUAACAACUCCUGAAGAAGGGGUUUUUCCCUGAAACAGGGUCAAAAAUACCCGGGACCCCUGUAGACUUGGGACUUUAUUUGGACUUUACUUUUGAAGACUUUUUUGAGAGCGGUGCUCCAUCAUUAUUUUCUUCAAUCCAGUAUACAGCAACAUGACCAACCAUCUGUUUGGAAGAUAUUUUCAUUGACUGUAUCCCUGAAGCCUAUAUAUAUUGGACCCAAUACCAGAUAUGGACUAUGAAAUUGCACAUAACAUUUGGUUCAACAUAUUAAAUCAGAUUAGUCAUGCCACAUUUGAAAUUUCUAUUAUCUGCUUUACUUUUCCAUCACAAAUUUGUUCACCUGCACAAUGAUAGCUAAUUUAUUGUUGGCCUACAACUUAUUGUUACAUUUAUGCUGGCCUUUUGUUUUCCUGUUUGUUUUCCUGGUUAUCUUAUUUAUAUCCAAUUAUUUUAAUUUUAUGUUAUUAUGUUUCUUUAUUUAAAAAAAACAGUCAAGAUGUUAAAUUGUUUACAAAUAAAAUGAUUAAAAAUCCCAAAACUAUUUUGUCAGGUGCCACAACUAAAGUAUAGAUUACUCCCUUUAGAUAUCAGUGAUAAACAACUUCAGUUUUCUUCUCUCUAGUCUUUUGAUAUUUCUCCUGGGUCUCAUUUAAUUCACCCACUUAACUGGCCUAAGGCAUUUUUCUGUUUAGGUGAGAUCGGCAAAUGGCAACCCUUUCCUCAAAAUCAAAUACAUAGAACUUGAAGCCAGCCAAGUUAUUUUGAUAUAGGAGGCAGAAAACCCCACAAGCACCUCUUCUUGUACAUAAAUAAUCACAACAUGUAUAAAUCACUUUUGCUAUCAUUUUAUGAAAUAAGAUAUCUUCAGCAUUAGGCAGUCACCUCACUGCCUGUUGUAGGACCAGCCCCAGCUUCCCCCAAAUUAUGGUGUCAAAAUUAUUUCUCUGUGCCCUGACAUCACUGAAUGUAUUUCCUUCCAUUUUCCAAAAGCUUAUGUAACCCUGGAUAACUGACCUUUCAAAAUUUCUCUGUUGUUAUCCUGCUUGAGAUCAUCAUUAUACAUCUGCUCCACCAUCCAGAGUCUUUUGAAACUGUCCUGUUUUAAAAAAAGAUUGCCCUUUCCCUUUUGUUCCUAUCAACUGGAACUGCUUGUCAGAAUACUAUUGCAAGACAAGCUGUCUUGCAUUCUUAAAACAUUUCCCCAUAAUUUGCCAUUUCUGUGAAGUGUUUGGAACAUGGCCCCAUCAAACCAAAUUCCCAGAUAGUUGUGUCACAAGUGUAGGUGUAUGUGCCUUCAAGCUGCAUGUUGGCUUAUGACAACCCCGCCAAUUUCCGAGGGUUUUCUUAGGCAAGGAAUCCUCGGAGAUCAUUUUGUCAGUUCCUUCCCCUGCAAUAUGCUUUCAGCACCUGGGAUUUUUUCGCAGUCUCUCAUCCAAGGACUAACCAAUGCUGACUUUGCUUAACUUCCAAAAUUAGGUGGAAUCUGGUGUCUUCAGGGCAUUUAUGUAUACAUGUAUGCAUGUAUUUAUGCUACAUCAUAGCGUAGUCACCAUUGUUUCUAUACCUUUGUUCAGUUUUACAGAAAGUACUCAGCAUUUUCAAAAGAAAGAGAGCUGCAUAUAGGCCUACAUGUUACAAUAGCUGUAAGGUAUUCCCAGGAGUUCUGUAGUGCUGUGACUCAUCAGAGCACUUUAACAAAUACCCCAUAAGAGCAGUUAAUAUAUUACUGGAGAGUCGUAGGUGGGAACUUUUUCUGAUGCCUACAAGACUGGGAAAAUACAUUAAUUCGGGCCAAAGGAAGACAUGUUGGUUGUGUGCAGCAAACAGAUAACAGUUGUGAUUGUAUUGUACUUAAAACUUGAAUGGUCCUAGUCUGAAACAUCAGUGCCGUCUGAAAAUUGAGGUGAUUGCAUGACAGAUUAAUGAGGGCAGUAUGAAUCUUUGCUCUUAGUUCAGCUUUAAGUGCAAAGCUUGGUUGCAUCUCCUCGAGUGAUGCAUUAUCAGUCGUAUUAUCUCAAAAACAAUGCCAGCCAUUGAACAGAUAAAGUGUUUCAGAAAAUUAUCUAAGAAGGACAUAAAAAUCAAGAGUAGGGGUGAUAUAUGUAUAAGUCUGCAGAACAAUUUUUCCACCCGUAUUAGUGUUUCAAUGUUUGACAUCGGUAGAAUAUCAUAAGUGAUAUACAGUCUAGUCAGGAAGGGAAAGGGGCUUUUCAGUACUCUUAGAGACAAAUUUGAAAACACCGUUAUUAUAAUGAUAUCAAUUGAUAAUGAAAUGUUAUUACAUUUUGCAACAAAUUAUUAGCAACCAAAAUUUUAUAGUUUUACUCCCUACCCCCAGAAAGUCUAGAAAGUAGUUUGUAAUAAUAUAGGGUGAAACAUACAUGAAGUAAUAAAACAAAAAUAAAGCAUAAAAACAUUAAUCAGCAGUAAAAAAAACAGUCAGAUGUAACAGGUUUCUCUAAAUGGCAAAGACUAAAUUAUCCUUCUAAAUACAGGGAGGAAGGGACAGAGAGCCAAGAGAGAUUCUUAUAGUAAAGUGUCCCAGUCAUGUGUCUUUUACAGCUUUAGAGGGAAGUACUAGCAAUUUGAAUAAGUAAUAAAUAAUCAAAACAGAAUUUGUGUAAUGUGGCUUCAUCAUUCACUUGCUUGAUUUUAUGUUGGCUGUAGCUUCUAGAUAACUGAGAUGACCACAUCUCCAAAUUAUUUCAGCAAUCCUGCCUGAGUAUUCAUGUCUCAUGGUUCUGGCUCUACUUCUGUCUAGUAAAAAUGGCAGCUCACAGAAGGUAUUAUUUAAAACCACUCUAGUUAAUAGCAUGGGGAUGUUAGAGUGAACCCAAACUAUAUAUCUGCUCUUUCUGGGGGAGUACAACCUCAUACAGAACAGUACAACCUUAUGCAACAACUUCCUAGACUUCUGUCCAUGGUGCUGAGAUCAAGCAUCAGGUUAUGAGUCACCAUCCAGCCCAUUACUAACUCCAGGAAACAAUCAGCACCUGCAGAGCCUUACUCAAUUGAGAGGAUUAUGGGAAACAGAGCCCUGUGUUAUUAGAAAACUGGUAAUAUUUUGCUACUCGAAAAUCUCAUCCAGAGGUUUCAUAAAGAUGUUAAGAUGUACAGCAAGUAAGAUACUAUCCUGAAGGAUUCCACAGCUCACCUACCAUAGAGUCAGUUACAAUCAGAACCACAGAGUUGGAAGACACUCGAGCCAUCUGGUCCAAACCCCUGCAUGCAGGAACACACAAGCAAAGUUCUCCCAUCUGGGCUCGGUUUAAAAGUCCCCAGAGAAGGAGACACCUGGAGGCAGAAUAUUCCAUAGUUGAUUAACUUACCAUCAGGAAUUUUCCCCCUUAUGUUUAAGUGGUAUUUUUUCUUCAGUUUAAAUGUCCUAGUUUCUAGAGUAGCAAAAAACAAGCUUGCCCCCCUUCUCAAUGUGACAUCCUUUCAAAUAUUUAAUCAUGGCUGUCACGUCUCUAAUUCCUCUUCUCCAAACUGAACAUACCCAGCUCAUUAAACUGCUCCUCAUAGGGCUUGGCUUCCAGAGCUUUUACCAUUUUUGGUGGCUAUUCUCUGGAUAUAUUCAAGCUUGUCAAUUUCCUUCUUAAAUUAGACUGGACACAGUAUCCCAGUGAGGUCUGACCAAAGAAUAAUAGAGUGAUACUAUUACUUCCCUUGAUCUAGACACUAUACUCAUAUUGGUGCAGACUAGAUUUACAUUGGCUUUCUUAUCUACUGCAUCACAUUGUUGACUCAAUUUCAGCUUUACUAAAACAUCCCUUUCACAUGUACUGGUUUCAAGCCAGGUGUCACUCAUCCUGUAGCUAUGCAUUUAAUUUUUUCUGACUGGGGCUCCUUCUACACUGCCAUAUAAUCCAUAUUAUCAAAUCAGAUAUUCCACAUUAUCUGCUUUGAACUGGAUUAUAUGAGUCUAUAUUGCCAUAGAAUCCAGUUCAAAGCAGAUAAUCUGAAUUUUAUAUGACAAUGUAGAAGGAGCCUAAGCGAAGUAUCAUAUAUUUCCCCCUGUUGAAAAUCCUUUUGUUAGCUUUAGCCUAACUCUUUAGUCUGUUAAGGCCAUUUUGGAUUCUGAUCCUGUCCCCUGGGUAUUAAAUUUAUUUAUUUAUUUAUUACUUAUAUCUCACUUUCUCUCUCUUAAAAGAGACUCAAAGCUAUCCCUACCAGCUUGGUGUCAUCUGCAAAUAAUCAUGCCCUCUAUCCCAUCACAUUAGAGAGAUUAAAAACAAUAAAAAUGAUUGUUGGGGUUAUGUCCAUAGCAAAAGGAAGAACAUGAAAAUGGCUACUGUGUACAAGUGAUGGCAAAAUGCUGACAGGGAAUAAAAAGGCAGAACUAUUCAAAACCUUCUUUAACUCAGUCUUCUCCCAAAAGAUAGAAGCAGAUGUUACAGUAGGGGAAAUGCAGUGCAGAAUAGGUAAAGAAGCAGCACAGGAAUAUCUGGCUAAUCUACAUGAAUUAAAAUUCUCCAGGAUUAGAUAAAUUACAUGUAAAGAUAUUGAAAGAAGUGGCAGAAGUAAUUUCAGAACCAUUGGCAAUCAUCAUUGGGAACUCCUGGAAAAUAUGAAGUUCCAGCAGGCUGGAGGAAGACAAAUGUUGACCCCAUUUUUAAAAAAAAUGGGGGAGGGGAGGAGGGGCAUCCAAACAAUGAUUGAAAUCAAUACCUGGAAAGAUUCUAGGACAGAGAGUUAAGAAAGUACUUAGAAAGGAAUGCCAUCCUCACUAAAGGUCAACUAGAGAUUCCACCAGUACUGCUUUCUGAAAUUAAUGGACUCACCAUACUGCUAUGUCCCUUGCACUAAGCCAUAGAAAAUUUUUAAAGGAUUCAUGGCUGAAAGAGGAAAAACUACUGAUCAGCAAAAUCAACAGGGAUGCAGUUUCUCUGUGUUGUAUUCUGCUCCCAAGUGUAGUUAAGCAGCACCAAGGAAAGACCCUGGUGAGCAACUUGUUCUAGCAAGUGUUUUGCACUUUUAUAUUUGGGGGAGGAUAAUUUGACACUUUGUCCUUAGAAGCCUUCUUUUAUUGUCCAGUCAUCUCAUGACCACUAUGAGUAUGACCUAAUCAUAAAGUGUACAAACACUUCCUCUAUAAUACCUCAAAACAUUAUGUAGACAGUGUGCCUCUGUCACUUUCCUUCCUUUGAUCAUUUUUGCUGUAGUGGGGUAUACUGUGAGUUUUAAAAGUUGCUAUUAUUGUUGUUGUUGUUAUUAUUAUUAUUAAUGCUUUAUAUGCCACUUUUUCUCUCUUAAAAGAGUGAAUUCUGUACUCUGUUUGCUGUCCUAAUAAAAAUACCAUCAUGAUAUGGAACAUCUAAUCUAGAGAUUCUGUUCAGAUGAAUUCCAAGACAGGUUAUCUGUGUCUGCAGUGAUUCGUGUUUUGAUCAUUUUCUAUGUUGGCACAUAGAUGGAUUAUGACAUGUCGACCAUUAUUGAAGUUGUUAGUUUGUAUUCAGAGGUCUCUGAUUUAAGGAUAGGAAAAAACACCUCUACUCGAGAAGGCAUGAAUCAUCUGGAUUUUCUUGAUCAAUAUAAUUCAGAUAAAGGCAGAUCAUACAAGAAGUGUCCAAGUGGUUGGGUGAACUUUUUGGAAUGUCUUUUGUACUUCCUCGGGUUGCAUCAGACAAAAGCAGAUCUCAUAACCAAACUAUGGAGUAUUCUGGACACUCCCAUGGAACUAUAUUUAUUGCAGUAAGAAGGCCAGAGCAAAUGUGAAAGCUUUUACCUUGCCACCUCCUUGUAUUUCUUUCAGUUGCUCCUUCCUAUCUUCCAUAUAUCAUAGCCCAUAAUGUAUAGAAAACAUGCAUUUUCAAAAAGUGCUUUCUUGUUUGUGGGUCAUCCUAUUUUAGCAAGACUCCAGGAGGGAAUCUAAAUGUUCAGCUCUCUAACAAUCCUCUAUGGGGUGUACAAAAUUAUCUUGCAGGAUAUACAGUGAUUGACCUAGUUUUAAUACUUUUGAAGUGCAUGGAAUUAAAACAAUGAAAGGACAAAACACUUGUAAGUUUAUAAAAUACCAUAGGCUUUCCCAUUUAUGGAAAGCAGGUCUCACUGCAUUCUAUGUAGCAUGCAUUUAUGGACCUGAAAUUAUUUUUAAAUAAAUGAAACCUUUCUUUAGGAGUUUUAUUUAUGAAAUGUAUACUUGAAUGAGGCUGAGGGACACCAAAUCUCACUAAGAUGAAUGUAUGUAAUACUUGGACAGAAGAGUGCAUUGUUUAUUAGGAAAGCUAUAGUCCACACUUAUAAUAAUUAGGCAGAAGGUUAAACUUUUGUUUUAUUCAACAAAAAUAACAUUGAGUCAUUUUUAUAUGAUAGCCAUAUUGCUUUAUUUGUGUUAUUAUUUUGUUGUGGUUCUCAAUUAAGGUAUACAGUCAGAGCCGGCCCUAGGUAUUUUUCAAGUGUAGGUGAACAGAAUUUUAACACCCCCCCCCCCCCACCCAAACCAAUCACUGAAAAAUAAAAGUGUUGGAUAAGCAAAAAUGUUGGAUAAUAAGGAGGGAUUAAGGAAAAGCCUAUUAAACAUCAAAUUGCAUUAAGAUUUUACAAAUUAAGCACCAAAACAUCAUGUUUUACAAGAAAUCAACAGAAAAAGGAGUCUCAACUGCGCCCCCAUAUGUUUUGCGCCCCAAGCGACCGCUUAAUUUGCCUCAUUGUUGGACCGGCUCUGUAUACAGUGUUCCCUCACUUAUCGCUGGGGUUAGGUUCCAGAACAACCUGCAAUAAGUGAACAUCCGCUAAGUAGGGACACUAUAUUUAUUUUAAUACUUAUGAAUUAUUUUAGUAGUUAUACACUAUUUUUAGUCUUUAUCAACCAAUCGUGUGUUGAUAAAUCGCCUCCUUCUCCUCCCAUUGCCGCUUGGGCUCCUUUUCUCUCCCUUCGGCCUCCCAUUCCUCCUUUCCUUAGGCUGUAAAUUGUAAUUUUUUAUGAUUCAUAAUAUUCUUUUAGAGUUUAUUGAAAAACCGCAAAAUAGCGAAUCCACGAAAAGUGAACCAUGAAGUAGUGAGGGAACACUGUAGUCCAGGAAGUCUUGAUUGUUUCAAACUUUUUAACAUUAUGAAUAAUCCAAAGAAAAGAUCAUAUGGAUUACAUAAACAUUUUUAAAAUUAAAAAUCAUGUGGAAACAGGAAACAAAAAUGAGACUUAGAGUUCUUAAGUAAUUUUGUAAUGUUUUAUUACAUUUGCCUUUAUUUUUAUUCCAAAUUUCAAUUUCUAUGAUUUUGUUAGUGACAUUGCCCAGUUUACAUUUCCUCAUCCUGCAAACUCUUUCUCCUCCUUGAAGAUGAAGGCAGUUUUAAUUCUGAACUCUACAUUAUCGUGAAACAGAGAAGAAAAUGAUAAUACUGAAAAGUUUGCAAGUAAAUUCUAAUUGAGGUAUACACUGGCCUAGAACAAUGUAACCAGUUUUUAUGCAUUGUCUGCAAUUUUUUUAUGGCAAUUUUGUAAAUCUGCACGUCACCUUCAUGGUAGAAUGUGUUCCAAGUUCAAUCAUGGGUCAGUUGCCAUCUCCCAAAAGAUAAACUGCUAUACUAGUUACAGAAAUCAAAUGACUAACUAAAAGAAGCUUAAUAUCAUUCAGUUAUGUAAUAUUUAUUUUCAAACAGCAUGAACACAGUGCUUUCAUAAUACCUAGAUAAAACCGAAAGGCAGUAGAUUCUAAAUAGUUGAAUAAAGUACUUCUUCUUAGAAUAUGUGAUAGCCAGUACUUAUGGUUUACUCCACAAACUGUUUGCUCACAUAGUGUUGUUGGGAUCCUGUGCACUGCCAACAGCACAAAUCUAUCAUUUCAAAUAUCAAAUGGCCUUUCAAAUGUAGAUUUGUCAAAUUCCUGAAUCUUUCAAACUCAUUAUUUGUAUUAAUCUGAAAUCUUGUUGUAGGCAUGAACCAAUCAUUAUAAUCUUCUGGGUUCUGAUUAAGUUUGGGGCUGAACAACUCUUACCCCACAAUGCUUUCCUAUAUGCCCUUGAUUAUGUGUGUGUGUGUGUGUUUGUGCCUUCAGAUCACUUGUUGAUUUAUGGUGGCCCCAUAAAUUUGAAAGGGUUUUCUUAGGCAAAGAAUGCAAAGAGGUGGUUUUGCUAAUUCCUUCCUCUGAAAUAUAGCCCACAGCACCUGAUAUUCCUUAGUGAUCCCCCAUCCAAGUGAAUUUGCAGCCUCCUACACUCACCUAUCUAUACAUAUUCUAUUUAUUUUGACUAUGCCAGUGGUGAUAGGCAUAUUGAUAGGAUAACAACAACAACAACAACAACAACUUCUUUAUUUUUUUAUCCCACCUCCAUCUCCCCGAAGGGACUCAGGGCGGCUAACAUAGGGCCAAGCCCAAACAAUUGCAAUAAAACAGCAUUAAAUACAAACAAGGCACACAGCAGCAUCUAAUAAGUGCCCAUACUGUAGUGAAAUAAAACAAAACAUAACAACAAUGGCAUACUAAAAUAAAGUAUAAAAACAUUACAAACUUGGAAUAAAAACAAGCUGGGCCAAAAUGCAGAGCACAGAAAAUGUAAAACUCAUGGAUGAGGUAGAUAGAAAAGAUGGUGCAUGUAGUAAGAAGUUCCUCCUCACUAUGGGCCUCCAGUGUUAGUUAUUGCUAUAGCAGAAAGCCAGGCAUCACUGUAAUACAAGGGGUAUUGUCUCCAUUUUGCUACUUUUAGUGAUGGAACAGCAGAAUCUCAUUCAACAAAUAGGUAGUAGAAAUUGACACUAGUAUCGGAUUCCAUCAUGCCCAUAGUUUUGGGUGCAAUAGAAUAAGCCAAUUUCAUAUCUCUUUCUAACCAAAUAAUUUAUUAGAUAGCUGUACUCUUGGACAGACCAAAAAGGGCAAUUAAUAUGUUAUUAUAUUUAUAUUAGUUUUUAAAAACUUAAGUAGAAUAUUCUGAAAUCCAAGCAGAGGAAAAACAUAGAUUAUUAAGAUGGUAAGCAGAAAUAUCUGAUGGAGGAGUCAGAAAGAUAAGAAAGCAUAAGGAAAAGUUAAAAUUUCCAUACUGACGCUUUAGUGUCUCCAGUAUAGUACACUUCUCCCCCACGUAUUCAUGAAUUCAGUAACCAUGCUCCAAAAAAUAUCCCCCAGGAGUAUUUGUGGGACUCUCUAGGUGAGUGGUUCUCAACCUGUGGGUCCCCAGAUGUUUUGGCCUUCAACUCCCAGAAAUCAUAACAGCUGGAAAACUGGUUGGGAUUUCUGGGAUUUGUACGCCAAAACAUCUGGGGACCUACAGGCUAAGAACCACUGUUAGGUCCUUCAGCAUGGUUUUAUGGUGUGCUUCUGGGACAAGUAUAGUAAAAAAAUAUUGAGUUCGCUAUUAUCCUCUGUUUCCGGUAUCCAUAGUGUGUGUGUGUGUGUUGGGUUGUAUUUGACCAAUGAUUAUUUUUGUGCACAAUGAAUUUAUUGUUCAUGUGUUUCAUGUAAAAGCAGAAACAAGACACUAUGUGCAACCAUAUUUAACUGUACGUUUUGUGUUCUUAAAUAUGAAAGUCAAUAUAUAGACCAUAGUGGCCAUAUUAAAGUCACUGAUAGUUUGAACCCUGACUUAUUUUGUCAGAAUCUGCUAGUUUAAAUACUAAUUUAUUUAGAGAAUGGAAAAUUGUUUCUUAGUUUAAAAAACUUAAAAGAACAUAAAUAAUUUAAUCUGAAGUAACAAGCUGUGCAAACUUUUAUUAGCUCAAUGACUAAACUGGACCCAGCGAAGCAUGUUGUGGAUGACCAUCCCAUUUCAGGCAUGUGGCUUGUGACAUGCUUUCCUGAACCUUAUUCACACACACACACCCUACACAUACACUGAAAAAUAUGAAAGAAUGUAGUUGUGGGUUGUGAGGGCAAAUCAAGUUCAACAUUUUCUGAUAUAUCUCUCAAGAGUUUUAAUCAGGAUGAAGUGAGCAGCAAAUCAGCCAACUUCACUGCCUGGAGCUCAUUAGUGGAAAUCCAAGAUAUACAAGCAGUGUUGGUUGGUGGCUUCCAUGUCAAUGGGAUUGUAACUUCUGAUUGUAUAGGAGCUCUCUCCAAGGUGCUGAACCUUGUUCCCCAAAUAGCAUAUUGGGAAUAGAGUCCAGUGUCUUAAGAACUCCUUUAGAGUUUGUGUUAAAACCCAGAGUAGAAGAAAGGAACAAUAAAAUAUAAAACCAUAUAAUACAAUUGUAGAACAAACUAACCAGAUAAAAUAGAAAAAAUGUGAUAUAAUAUAAAGGCAACUGACCAAUAAGUGUAAUCAAAAUAUUUUUAAAACAAUAUUACACUUAAAAUCCCAAGUGUAGGUAAUAAUAUAUAAGUCAACACCUUGAAUGCUUAGAGCAGUCCCUUGUGCCAAAACAUGAUUUGACCUGGCAUCCAGCCUCCAUAAAUUGGGUUGGUGGAAGUAUCUUCUUCCAUGAAGAUGAAGCCCAUCAUGUAAAGUAUCCCUGGAUUCCAUUGUACAUUUAAACUGCUAGUAUUGCCACAAACAUUUUCUUCUGGAUAGGAACCAAUGUGAAGGGCAGCAUGCCACUAAUAACUGACAGUAUGAAAUACCGCAGCUGGGUUAGUGGUAAAGUGAAGGGAAUUCUGCCUAAUGACAAUCUACUACUAAAUGCAUAUAAUCUAUGAAUGCAUAUGCUACAUUUCUAUCACAGCACUUAAGGUCCCAUAAAAAUGGUUUGGGGAACAUUAAGGUGCUUCAGUAUAGCAUAUAAGAUGCCCUCUUUAUUUCCUGAUAUACUUUCUAUUGGAAAGUUAAUACAUUGCAGAUAUUGACUGCAUUAAAAAUGAAAAUGGCAAAGAGGUUUAUGGACUUUAAAGACUAAGAUAUUUUAUUUGAUGUAAGCUUUCAUGGACGACAUCCUAUUUCAACAUUAGAUGCAUGGAACAUAGCCUUUGUUGGUAGACAUAGAAAAAACAAAAGAUACCAGCUUAUGAUGACCUCAAGAGCAGUUCUUUAAAAGUUAUGGAAGUGAGAGGAAUGUUCCUUCAUAAAUAAAUAUGAGGCGAAGAGAUUGUUUCUUCAUAAAUAAGUGUGACUGCCUAUGAUUCUGGUCUCAAUACUCAGGGUUUGUAGUAACAUUCAAAGCUUGUGACCUCAAUAACUGAAGAAGUACCACUUCCUGCAUAUGCCUGCUAGAGAACUGAAGACUCCAUUGCACAUAUAGAAGGGACUUUUAAGUGCACAUUGUGCUUGAAGUGUCUUAAUAUUUAGGGAUAACUGAAUGAAUGAAUGGUAAAAGUAAUUUGCCCUCAUUCUGAUUGUGCCCCGCACCAGACUCUAUACCUUAAGUUUGGUAGAUAUACAUAUUUUUGCAUUUUAUUUUGAGAAUAUUUUGUGUGUAAUUCCAUCUCUUUGAUGUAUUUCUGUAGCUUUUGGUUGCAAAAUAGUGAAAUGAAGAGAUGGAUGGGAUUGGAGACUUUAUAGACAUAAUUGGUAUGUCAAUUGAUUUUUUAAAAUGUAUUCAUUUUUAUUACAUUGAUUUAUUAUUUGCUGUUUUCAUGAUUAUAAGAUUGAUUCCUGCUUCACUUGGUUGUAAUGAAAUGCAUUUUGUGUUGUCAUGGUUUUGUAAAAGUUAUACCUGCAAGUAGGAAAAAUGAAUAAUGACCUGAUGCUUUAAAACAGUUCUAGGGCUUAAAAAAUAUCAGGUGGAAUUCCAAGGUUGUAAAUGCUUAAAGAAGAGCCAGUUCAUGAUAGAUGGGAGUUUCUUAAAAAGAACAUACUGAAGGCACAGUUGUAAACAAUUCCAAUGAGAAUGGAAAAUGGGAGAUGUCUUUAAAUAAACAGGAGAAAUAUAUAAAGAACUUUCAGGCAAACCGAUAUGUAAAAUGGGUGCAUACAAGGCAAGGAAGAAGGGGAAGGAAAUCAGAAAAGCCAAAUCUCAGCUGGAUUUCAGGCUUAUCAGUAAUAAAAGUGGUAUGGGAUUGGCUAGUUUUAAGUAAGAGGAAGAACAAAAAACAGUAGGGUAACUGCAUAAAUAGGGAGAUGGAAUUGCUUGUCAUCUUCUUAACACUUCAGUAUUCUCCCCAAAGGAAAACAGUGCUGGUGGAAAUAGAACAAAUGAUGCAGGAAGAGGACUGCAGUGCAGAAUGGGUAAAAAGGUAGUAUGGGAAUACCUAACUAUUUUCAAUGAAUUUAAGUCUCCAGGGCCAGAUGAACUACAUCCAAGGGCACUAAAAAGAAUGUAUAGAUGUAAUCACGAAGCCACUGUUACUCCAUGCCAGAUGAAAAGGAAGAAAUACUUAGAUAUGCCAGGAAAAUAAAUCAGCAGACAGUGUCUGAGGACUGAUGCAGGAGUCCAAACAAAGGACCCAAGGACUUUUAAGAGAAGAAAGACAUUUGGAAAAGAAGAGAGGUGUGAAGAGCACUGCUUGGGAGUAUGACUGAACUGUGUACACUUUCAGACAUACACAUUCAUGGUUUGAUUUUCUUUCUGUGUAGAGGAAUAAACAUUUUAUACACUAUUUCUGAAGUGUCAUUAUAGGUAAACAAAUGCACAACAAACAAUAUAUGUCUGGAAGGUUUGUACAUCUUUAAAGUAAAGGUAAAAGUUUUCCCUUGACAUUAAGUCUAGUAGUGUCCAACUUUGGGGGUUGGUGCUUAUUUCCAUUUCUAAGCCUAAGAGCUGGCAUUGUCUGUAAACACCUCCAAGGUCAUGUGGCCGGCAUGAUUGCAUGGAGCACCGUUACCUUCCUGCCGGAGCGUUACCUAUUGCUCUACUUACAUUUGUAUGUUUCAAACUGCUAGAUCAUCAGAAGCAGGGGCUAGUCCGCUCCCCGGAUUUGAACUGGUGACCUUUCAGUCAGCAAGUUCAGCAGCACAGUGCCACUGGGGGCACUUUAAAGUAAGACAAAAAAGAGUGUGUGAGAAAAAAAAAGAAUGAAAGAGAGAGAAGUCAGUGAGAUACAUGUACAUAGAUAGAGGCAGAGACUGCUUUGUCACUGGACCUGCUGGGGAAGAACAAGAUGCUUGGGUAAAUGACAUAUCAGUCCAGGUAUGGAUUGGAUUCCCAAUGCAGGUAAUAUUGGAGGUACCAAUAUGUCAUGCACCACCUUUCCUUGCACUCCACACUAUACGUUGUUUUUUUUUAAUACACAGUAUUCAGCUCCAUCAGUGCUUUCUUCUUUUGCAAGGAUAAGUGAAAUGAACCUGUUCUGGAUCAGAGCCAUACCAUGGAGGAUAAGAUGAACUUUAACUCUUUUGCACCUGCUGUGGUCCUGAUUCUCCUUCUCUUCACAUUCUGCUUUCGCAAUUGACUUAUGAGGAUAAAACACCCCUUUAGCCACUAAUUUGCACUGAAAUCAAAUGACAAAUGAAAUGAAGUUUCUUUUUAAGGGGAAAUAUUUGCCUACAGUGGCUUUCCAAGUUGAGUUCCAGGCCCUUCAGAAAGUCAGUGCAAACCUGGAUGAACAAUGUUUUCUCAUUUCAUUAUUUGAUUCAACUCUAAACUUGUGCAGGUCAUCCUAAUUGUCUGCUUGUUAUCCAAGGACAUAUAUGUGAAUCUAAAUUCACAUAUUUCAUGACAACAACCCCCAGAUAAAACAUGACUAUGGUACAAGCUAAUGUUUAUUUGGUGCAGUAUUUGUGUGCCUUCAAGUCCUUUCUGACAUACGGCAAUCUUAUCACAGCAGUUUUCUGGCAAGAUUUGCCUUCUUCUGAGGUUGAGAUAGCUCUCAAGUGGGUAGCCAUGGCUGAAUGGGGAUUCAAACCCUGGUCUCCAGAGUUGCAAUCCAACAUUCAAACUGCUACACCAGGCUGGCUCUUGGUACUGCAUAGUGACUAGUGGUGCACCUACACUGCAGAAUUAAUGCCAUUUGACACCACUUUUAACUGCCAUCGUUCAAUGCUAUGGAAUCAUGGGAGUGUUACAAGUGAUACAGUUAAAGUGGUACCAAACUGCACUAAUCCUACCGUGUCCAUGUAUCCCAUGAUUACAACUUCUCAUAAUUCACUGCCCAGCUCUGUCACACACUACUGACAUACUUUAUUCAAAGUAAGACAUAGUCUCUCAGAUCCAUCUUUUAAUCUGGAAAAUGGGAUGAUAAUAACAGUGUACUUUGCAGUAUUCUUGCAAUGAUUGUUUUACUACUAUAUGUGAAGCACUUAGGAAAACGUAGCAUAGUAGUAGGCCUGAUUACCUUAUUGACUCUGUUUAUAUAAAGCCAGAGGAUACUUGUAAUCCUCUUUUUUAGGAUAAAAUGCAUAAAUUAAUACAAAUAUGGGUAUGCAUCCAAUAUUUAGUUUAUGGUGUUUCUAAAUAUAUUUUAUCUAGGUUUUGUAGUAUAUUAUUUUUGAAUUGGUGAACAGGGAAAUGAAUUUCAGAAUGAAAUUUGCAUGAGCAUUCUACCUUUAUAUUUUAAACAUGCUCUAGACCACUGAAGAUUGUGUGAAUAGUCAGGGUUAUGCUGCACUCUAUUGCUUUUAAUGACUCAAUAAAACACCAUGUCUACCCUGUGAAUGCAAGAAUAGUGUGUUUUGGGGGCAGAGGACCAGCCCAUUUGGACCAGAGAUGUUGCCUUUAGUUUCAGAUUUUACUGAGAAAAGAUUAAUAAUAUAGAGCUUUAACAAGGUUAUUGUAUUACAUGUAUUCAUGACCUUGCAUCUCUGUACAUGAAAAUAUAAGUGCUCCUUGCUCUUUGUUCUCUGUGUUGUGUGUAUGUAUGUAUAUGUGUGUGUGGAGUGGGAGAGAUCUCAUGUUAUUGGGUUCUUAAACUUUUUAGAAGAAAGUUCUUUCUGCUUAUUUUAUGCAGUCCAAUGGUUUGACUUAAUGAGGCAUUAAUAACAGAUGAAUGUGAAUAAAUAACCAAGCUGCUUAUAGUCUCUAGUCAGCUUGAUGGGCAUUGUUCUCUUCCCACUCUUCUCUCUUAAUACCCAGUUCUGUGUAGGUAUCCAGGUCAUUUCCCAUGUUGGUAUUGGACAAGCGCAGAUUUACGUACCUAUCAAAUGAUUAUUUCAUAAUGUGCUUUCAUACACAACCAUAUAUAAAAUACGGAGAAAGAUAAAAUAUGUGAAGAAUUCUUGCAAGGUUAUGGUUUGGGAGAGAAUGAGCUCUCUGGCCUAUCUUUCUCUGAACAACUCUGUUACAUUUGUGAAAUUAGGCAAAUGCAGCUCUGGAAUAUUAGAUAAGGUCAAGUAGAGUUAAUGAAUUAUAGAUAAGAAGAGCAUACGGGGAUGAACACCCCCCCUCCAAUGAGAGCAUGUACAAGACUUGUCCCACAAUUUGAAAAACAAUGCUGAGAGAGGGAGGGAAGAUGCGAUGGUAUAUAGAUACAGUGGUAUCUAUAUAUAUGUGUGUGUGUUUUGCUUCUGGAAAUGAUGGCUACUGUGUUGGGUCUAUUUGGUGGGAUGCUUAGGCAUCUGUGUCCACCUUCUUUUCCAAUAUGCUUGUAGAAUUGACUUGAGAUGACUGAAGGAAAGGAAUAUGACACAAAUUUCAUACUUACCGUGUUUUGUGUCUACCUUAACAAACAUGGUUGCAUGCUAUGGAAUUUUGGGGUUUGUAGUUUGGUGAGGCACUAGAACUUUCUGCCCAAAAAGUUUUAAUUAAUUUUUUAUGCCUUCAGUACAUUUCUGGCCUAAGACAUGGGGGUUUUGUGGCAAAAUUUAUUCAGAGAAGUUGCCUUUGCCUUUGUAUGAAAAGGCGUGACUUGCCCAAGGUCACCCAAUAGGUUUUUAUAGUAGAGUGGGAUCCAAAUUCUUGUAUCCAUAGUUAUAGCCUAAUGCUCAAAUCAUUACAUCACGAAGAAUGAGACCAUGGCAAUUAAAGUGGAAUCAUAACUGUGUCGUAUGAAAUGUCCUUUUAAGACAGGGAAUGCAAGAACAAGAUGACCCACACAAUUCUUUCUUCUUCUACCCUUUGGUUGUCUGUGGGAAUAAGAUGGAGUGAAAUGGAGGCAUGGGAAUAUGAGCUUCUCUUGCUUUUUCCAAUUUUUGGUACCCCAAACAGUUCCCUAUGUUUCCUGAACUUGGCCAGUGGAAUCAAUCUAAGAAACAGAAAUGGGAGCUCACAAGUAAGAGGAACUAUCUGCCAUCUCAAACCACCGUGUUACCAAGCUGUUUCAGAAAGCAUGGAGGGAAAGGAAGAGAAUAGGAUAAGUGGGAGAAUGGGAUGUGGCAGAUGGAUGCUGUGAAAUAUCUGACAACUAAAGUGGGCACUGGGGAAGCUUGUUGCACAUCAGGUAUUUAGUUUUCCAUGCCAUUGUACAUUCAGUCCAGUUCAUACCCUCACAAACUGUCUUUUUACUGAUAUACUUGUCAGUCUAUGAAAUGAAAAGAAGUGGGACUUCAGUUUCAAUGUGAGUGUAGUUUACUUGUCUUGACAGGAAUCUUGGUGUCUGUCCUGGAUGCAAUUCCUCCAAGCUGCCUUUUCAAUGAGACUUCCAUGGGCUUUACCUAGAAUAAUUAAAUGUUGACUCCUGCAGCAAAUACAAUCCCCCUGCUUGUUAUGAGUGCUGCAUCUUUGGUUGCAGCCUGGCAGACAAUGCAGUUUAUUUUGGUUUUCAACAGAAGUCUCUCCCUUCUUCCAUCCUGAAAAUAAAAGAUCUUGAAGAAUUUCGAAGUUCAGAAUUUUAAAGGAAGCCACAAAGGGAAACUGAGAAUAGCACUGCAGCAGAACCUCUAUAGUAGUCUAUGGUUCAGUUUUAGAACAAAAUAUACUGGAUUCUUACUUCAGCAGCUCUGCCUUGGAUGGGAUUGUGUUUGGUAAUGUUAGCUGGCCCCUGUUACCCAGGUGACAACAUGAUGACUCACAGCAUUACAAUGGAGGUAAUAACACUGUGCCAGUUGCACAUAGCGCUGGGCGAUGCCAUGCCCCCCCCCCCCCCCCCAAAGUGAUGAGAUGAGCAACAAGGUUAAUAGCUUGAUCAUCACAUUAGCUGGUACAGGGUAGUGGAGGCCUUACUCUAAAUGAGCAUUGGGAAUAUUCAAGUGGGAACAGUCAUCCCAGAAUGUUUCUUCAGUAAUUAAUUCAAAUGCUAUAAAAAUUGUCUUUCCUUUUGCACUUCAUUAUAUACAUCCAAUUCAAUUCAAUCCAAUGCAAUUCUCACACAGUGUGUGCUCUCCCUAGUUAUGUUUUGGUGAACUAGUUCAAAACAGUUCCAUAAAGAGACAAUGUUGUCCUCCCUCUCUAAAGGUUAACAAAGGUUUCAAACAAAUAGUUUCUACCAUGUUUUUUUUUUAAACAAA